AUUGAACGCUGGCGGCAGGCCUAACACAUGCAAGUCGAACGAGCGGCGGACGUGUGAGUAAGGGAUGGGGACUGCCCGAUAGAGGGGUAUAACUACUGGAAACGGUGGCUACUACCGCAUACUAACGGGUAACCCAUAUGGGAUUAUCUAGUAGGUGGGGUAAAGGAUCACCUAGGAGACGCUCUUUAGCUGGUCUGAGAGGAGGAUCAGCAAAACUGGGACUGAGCCACGGCCCAGACUCCUACGGGGGAAGCAGGGGGGAAUAUUGGGCAAGGGGGGCAACCCUGACGCAGCCAUGCCGCGUGAAUGAAGAAGGUCUUCGGGUUGUAAAGUUCUUUCGGUAGCGAGGCGUUAACUACAGAAGAAGCACCGGCUAACUCCGUGCCAGCAGCCGCGGUAAUUC
rnacentral:rRNA from 1 species